UACGUAGGUGGCAAGCGUUAUCCGGAAUUAUUGGGCGUAAAUCGCGCGCAGGUGGUUUCUUAAGUCUGAUGUGAAAGCCCACGGCUCAACCGUGGAGGGUCAUUGGAAACUGGGAGACUUGAGUGCAGAAGAGGAAAGUGGAAUUCCAUGUGUAGCGGUGAAAUGCGUAGAGAUAUGGAGGAACACCAGUGGCGAAGGCGGCUCACUGGACCGGUACUGACGCUGAUGCGCGAAAGCGUGGGGAGCAAACGGG
rnacentral:rRNA from 1 species